rnacentral:rRNA from 1 species
AGACCGGCGCACGGGUGCGUAACGCGUAUGCAAUCUACCUUUCACAGAGGGAUAGCCCAGAGAAAUUUGGAUUAAUACCUCAUAGUAUUAUGGAAUGGCAUCAUUCUAUAAUUAAAGUCACAACGGUGAAAGAUGAGCAUGCGUCCCAUUAGCUAGUUGGUAAGGUAACGGCUUACCAAGGCUACGAUGGGUAGGGGUCCUGAGAGGGAGAUCCCCCACACUGGUACUGAGACACGGACCAGACUCCUACGGGAGGCAGCAGUGAGGAAUAUUGGACAAUGGGCGCAAGCCUGAUCCAGCCAUGCCGCGUGCAGGAUGACGGUCCUAUGGAUUGUAAACUGCUUUUGCACAGGAAGAAACAACAUUACGUGUAAUGUCUUGACGGUACUGUGAGAAUAAGGAUCGGCUAACUCCGUGCCAGCAGCCGCGGUAAUACGGAGGAUCCAAGCGUUAUCCGGAAUCAUUGGGUUUAAAGGGUCCGUAGGCGGUUUAGUAAGUCAGUGGUGAAAGCCCAUCGCUCAACGGUGGAACGGCCAUUGAUACUGCUAAACUUGAAUUAUUAGGAAGUAACUAGAAUAUGUAGUGUAGCGGUGAAAUGCUUAGAGAUUACAUGGAAUACCAAUUGCGAAGGCAGGUUACUACUAAUGGAUUGACGCUGAUGGACGAAAGCGUGGGUAGCGAACAGGAUUAGAUACCCUGGUAGUCCACGCCGUANACGAUGGAUACUAGCUGUUGGAAGCAAUCUCAGUGGCUAAGCGAAAGUGAUAAGUAUCCCACCUGGGGAGUACGUUCGCAAGAAUGAAACUCAAAGGAAUUGACGGGGGCCCGCACAAGCGGUGGAGCAUGUGGUUUAAUUCGAUGAUACGCGAGGAACCUUA